rnacentral:rRNA from 1 species
GACGUAGGGCGCGAGCGUUGUCCGGAUUUAUUGGGCGUAAAGAGCUCGUAGGCGGCUCGGUAAGUCAGGUGUGAAAACUCUAGGCUCAACCUAGAGACGCCACCUGAUACUGCCGUGGCUAGAGUCCGGUAGGGGAGCAUGGAAUUCCUGGUGUAGCGGUGAAAUUCGUAGAUAUUCGCAAGAACACCAGUGGCGAAGGCGGCUCACUGGCCCGUUACUGACGCUGAGGCACGAAAGCGUGGGGAGCAAACAGG